rnacentral:rRNA from 1 species
GAUGAACGCUGGCGGCGUGCUUAACACAUGCAAGUCGAACGGUGAAGGCGAAGCUUGCUCUGCUGGAUCAGUGGCGAACGGGUGAGUAACACGUGAGCAAUCUGCCCCUGACUCUGGGAUAAGCGCUGGAAACGGCGUCUAAUACUGGAUACGAGCUGCGAAGGCAUCUUCAGCAGCUGGAAAGAAUUUCGGUCAGGGAUGAGCUCGCGGCCUAUCAGCUUGUUGGUGAGGUAAUGGCUCACCAAGGCGUCGACGGGUAGCCGGCCUGAGAGGGUGACCGGCCACACUGGGACUGAGACACGGCCCAGACUCCUACGGGAGGCAGCAGUGGGGAAUAUUGCACAAUGGGCGAAAGCCUGAUGCAGCAACGCCGCGUGAGGGACGACGGCCUUCGGGUUGUAAACCUCUUUUAGCAGGGAAGAAGCGAAAGUGACGGUACCUGCAGAAAAAGCGCCGGCUAACUACGUG